AUGGAAAGGUUUCUAAAAAAGAGGAGAACCUCGGUGAAAGAUGAAAAUGUUGGUCCGUCACACGAAAAUAAUGAUGCCUCCACACAUGAACCUAGUUCUGCUAAUACUACAAGAAAUUCCUUUGAAAUUGAAGAGCUCAAUUGGGAAGUAGAAAUUCAAUUUGAUCCAGGUAAAAGGAUAAGCAUAGAUGAGUACCAUCCAAAUCAGAGAGAUACGGUAAGAAGGAAGUAUUUGGCCAAUGGCCCUUCUCAACCUCGUACUGCUGAUUUUGAAGUGACAGAAAUAUGUGGUAAAGAAAGAAGGUUUGUUCGGGAAUGGUUUGAUGAGUUUGAGAGCUGGACCGCGCAAGAAGAAAGAAGCUGGAUAUGAUGCAUUUGUUGCAAAUGGUUGGUCAAGUUGGAAUAAGAAAUAUAGAUUAUGGGAGCAUGUAGGAGACAUCAAUAGUGCUCACAACCAAGCAAAAAAAGAUUGUGAUGCUUUGCUGAAACAAAAGCAACACAUUUAUGUUGCUCUAAACAACCAAAGUAACGCCAAGAGGAAUGCUUAUUGUACUCGAAUAAAUGCCUCAAUUGAUGUUACUAGAGUGUUACUGAAGCAACGGUUGCCUUUCCGUGGCCAUGAUGAGUCUGACGAGUCUCUCAAUAAAGGCACUUUCAAGGAAUUUCAUGCUUAUACAGCAGAGCAGAAUCCAGAGGUAAGAAAAGUUGUGGCCCAUAAUGUUAGGGAACGUAGUAAUUUCAAAAAUUUCCUACGCACACGCAAGAUCAUGGUGAUGCAUAGCAACGAGAGGGGAGAGUGUUGUCUAUGUACCCUCGUAGACCGAAGUGGAAGCGUUGACGCAACGUAG
rnacentral:rRNA from 1 species